rnacentral:misc_RNA from 1 species
UGAGUUGAGUUGAGUUGAGUAUAGGUUAACAACCAAAAAUUUGCAUGGUUUAUCAUUAUUAGUCACACAUCUGCAAGUCAUGAAACAUACACACAGAGAAUGAAUAACACAAUAGAACAGAUUAAAAUUUGCAAAGGAGAAACAAUGAAUUUCAAUGUCAUCUCUCACUUAUGCUGCAACAUGAUUUUAACACAACAAAAGCGUCUACAUAAAAUUUCCAAACAUUUUUUACCCACGUCAUGUGAAGUGAAAGGACUAAAUAAUCUCUUUUACUAGAACAGAACUAUAACAGCAAAAGCUGACUGGUGCAUAGGCCGUUAAUCUAGUACAUGCUCACUUUGAGUGUCCAAAUUUGUUUCACAUGUUUGAGGUGGCAUAUGUCUAGCAAAAGAUUAUACCUCACAUUAUUAAAGAAUAGGUCUGCAGCUUAAUCUAGAAAGAAGAAGACAUCAUCCUUUCAUCAAAGUCAACAAGGCUAGAAGUGCAAUUAAAUGAACUUAAAUUUAAUUAAUGCCAAAGAAAUUCUAGACCACUUCAUUAAACAGAUUCUGACACUAUAAGACCAUUCAAUCUAAAAGUUCUAGUUUAUAAAUAAGCACCCAAUAAUAGGCUUUUUAAUAGCUAACAUAAAUGAAGGCAUGCAUGUUAAAUGAAGAGAUUUAGGGUUGGAAAUUGUGGAGUUCGGACACAACAUAAAAUUACUACAAGAAUUAUGAAUAUGAUAGGACAAGAAUCUAUUUAACCCAAACACAAAAUAAUAUGAUCUGUUUUAGAGAAAAAGUAAUUAAUGAUUACU